AAUAGAUACCCGGGUAGUCCACGCCGUAAACGAUGGAUACUAGCUGUUUGAGCGCAAAUUUGAGUGGCUAAGCGAAAGUGAUAAGUAUCCCACCUGGGGAGUACGGGCGCAAGCCUGAAACUCAAAGGAAUUGACGGGGGCCCGCACAAGCGGUGGAGCAUGUGGUUUAAUUCGAAUGAUACGCGAGGAACCUUACCAGGGCUUAAAUGUAGAUUGACGUAUUUGGAAACAGAUAUUUCUUCGGACAAUUUACAAGGUGCUGCAUGGUUGUCGUCAGCUCGUGCCGUGAGGUGUCAGGUUAAGUCCUAUAACGAGCGCAACCCCUGUUGUUAGUUGCCAGCGAGUAAUGUCGGGAACUCUAGCAAGACUGCCAGUGUAAACUGUGAGGAAGGUGGGGAUGACGUCAAAUCAUCACGGCCCUUACGUCCUGGGCCACACACGUGCUACAAUGGCCGGUACAGAGAGCAGCCACUUAGCGAUAAGGAGCGAAUCUAUAAAGCCGGUCACAGUUCGGAUCGGAGU
rnacentral:rRNA from 1 species